AACCUCAGUCUUAGUGAGAAGGACACCCUGGAUCAUAUUGUCCAGAAUUUGUUAAUGGGGCUAAAUUGAGACACAGGUUCUGCUUACAACACAGUAAAUUCAUUGCAAUAGUGCUAAUGAGACUGCUCAUAUUU